GGGGGUGUAGCUCAGUCGGUAGAGCACCGCCCUUUUAAGGCGAUGGUCGCAGGUUCGAAUCCUGCCACCCUCACAA
rnacentral:tRNA from 1 species